UUGUGCAAUUGGUAAAUUC
rnacentral:snRNA from 1 species